CAGCCCCGCGGGAAUACGUAGGGUGCAAGCGUUAAUCGGAAUUACUGGGCGUAAAGCGUGCGCAGGCGGUUAUAUAAGACAGAUGUGAAAUCCCCGGGCUCAACCUGGGAACUGCAUUUGUGACUGUAUAGCUAGAGUACGGCAGAGGGGGAUGGAAUUCCGCGUGUAGCAGUGAAAUGCGUAGAUAUGCGGAGGAACACCGAUGGCGAAGGCAAUCCCCUGGGCCUGUACUGACGCUCAUGCACGAAAGCGUGGGGAGCAAACAGGAUUAGAGACCCCCGUAGUCCCUGUCUCUUAUACA
rnacentral:rRNA from 1 species